AAAAACAAACUGCAAAGUGGCAUUUAUUUACAUUAAAAUGUAAACCACCUGUGUGCACACAAAGUUAAGAGGCACAAUGUUACGCACAGCAACUAUGAUCUUCAGAACACGUCAUACACAAUAGUAUCUGCCGAUACAUCAGUGGUUCCCGUGAGAACAGUGGUACCGAAACAUUCCUGACACCAAACAUUCAUUCACAUAUUCUAAUCAUAGAAGACAGUUAAUAUUUUAAAAGUUAUGUACUUCAAAAAACACUAGCAAGAUGUACAACCAACCAAAAUAUAGU
rnacentral:lncRNA from 1 species